rnacentral:ncRNA from 1 species
CUCCGUGACUGACGGAUAAAUGUGGAGCACCACAGGGAAGCGGAGGCCGUUUGGAAGCCGACCGUCUGGGCGUAC